CCUCGAUGCUCUUAGCUGAGUGUCCCGCGGGGCCCGAAGCGUUUACUUUGAAAAAAUUAGAGUGUUCAAAGCAGGCCCGAGCCGCCUGGAUACCGCAGCUAGGAAUAAUGGAAUAGGACCGCGGUUCUAUUUUGUUGGUUUUCGGAACUGAGGCCAUGAUUAAGAGGGACGGCCGGGGGCAUUCGUAUUGCGCCGCUAGAGGUGAAAUUCUUGGACCGGCGCAAGACGGACCAGAGCGAAAGCAUUUGCCAAGAAUGUUUUCAUUAAUCAAGAACGAAAGC
rnacentral:ncRNA from 1 species